UGUCUGUGUGCAAGAAGAUGCCAUCUUUUCAGUGUUUCAAAGAUUUUUCAAAAUGAUUUGUGAUUCGGCUCCUGCCUUGAUCCCAGGAGUGGUCAAGCGGUUUCAGCCUCCUGUGACAGUGGAAAUUACCAGCCGUCUUGAGUAAACGUACGGUCCAGAGAAGGCAACCGGGUCCUGCCUCGGGCUCCCUAGGAGUGGCCAAGCAACUUCAGCCUCCUGUGAAAAUUGCCAGCUGAUGAGAGGGGCAAGCAACUUUAGCCUACUGUGGAAAUUGCCUUAUGCUCCUGCCAACUAAGCGAGUAACAGG